rnacentral:rRNA from 1 species
GAUGAACGCUGGCGGCGUGCCUAAUACAUGCAAGUCGAGCGAACAGAUGAGGAGCUUGCUCCUCUGACGUUAGCGGCGGACGGGUGAGUAACACGUGGAUAACCUACCUAUAAGACUGGGAUAACUACGGGAAACCGGAGCUAAUACCGGAUAAUAUAUUGAACCGCAUGGUUCAAUAGUGAAAGACGGUUUUGCUGACACUUAUAGAUGGAUCCGCGCCGCAUUAGCUAGUUGGUAAGGUAACGGCUUACCAAGGCAACGAUGCGUAGCCGACCUGAGAGGGUGAUCGGCCACACUGGAACUGAGACACGGUCCAGACUCCUACGGGAGGCAGCAGUAGGGAAUCUUCCGCAGUGGGCGAAAGCCUGACGGAGCAACGCCGCGUGAGUGAUGAAGGUCUUCGGAUCGUAAACUCUGUUAUUAGGGAAGAACAAAUGUGUAAGUAACUAUGCACGUCUUGACGGUACCUAAUCAGAAAGCCACGGCUAACUACGUG